AAAUUUAAUUAUUUUUUUCAAAAAUACAAAAAUAUAUUUUUUUUUGAAAAAAAAAUAAUUUUUCUCAAAAAAAAACUGAUAUUGUUUUAUUAAAAAAAAAGUAAAAAACUUUUAAAAAAUAAUAAAUUUUAAAGGAAAAAAAAAUGGAUGGAUGGAUAUCCAUCCACUAAAAAUAUGAUAAUGGAUGGAUUGGAUGGAUUUUUAUUCUUAAUGGAUGGAUUGGAUUGGAUAUUUUUAAAAAAA
rnacentral:lncRNA from 1 species